AGUGAACGCUGGCGGCGUGCCUAAUACAUGCAAGUCGAACGGAGAUUAAGUAGCUUGCUAUUUAAUCUUAGUGGCGCACGGGUGAGUAAUAUAUAGCUAACUUGCCCAUUACUAAGGGACAACAGUUGGAAACGACUGCUAAUACCUUAUACUCCGUAUCUAUAUAAGUAGAUACGGGAAAGUUUUUCGGUAAUGGAUAGGGCUAUAUCGUAUCAGCUAGUUGGUAAGGUAAUGGCUUACCAAGGCUAUGACGCGUAACUGGUCUGAGAGGAUGAUCAGUCACACUGGAACUGAGACACGGUCCAGACUCCUACGGGAGGCAGCAGUAGGGAAUAUUGCUCAAUGGGGGAAACCCUGAAGCAGCAACGCCGCGUGGAGGAUGACACUUUUCGGAGCGUAAACUCCUUUUCUUGGGAAAGAAUUAUGACGGUACCCAAGGAAUAAGCACGGGCUAACUCCGUG
rnacentral:rRNA from 1 species